CCCUUAGAUGUUCUGGGCUGCACGCGCGCUACACUGAAGCGUUCAACGAGCCUAGCCUUGACCGAGAGGUCCGGGUAAUCUUUGAAACUGCAUCGUGAUGGGGCUAGAUUAUUGCAAUUAUUAAUCUUCAACGAGGAAUGCCUAGUAAGCGUGAUUCAUCAAAUCGCGUUGAUUACGUCCCUGCCCUUUGUACACACCGCCCGUCGCUCCUACCGAUUGAAUGUGUUGGUGAGGAGCUCGGAUUGGCAGCAGUUGGUGGUUCGCCACCGGCUAUUGCUGAGAAGUCCUCCAAACCGCCCCAUUUAGAGGAAGGAGAANUCGUANCA
rnacentral:rRNA from 1 species